rnacentral:rRNA from 1 species
UACGUAGGGUGCAGGCGUUAAUCGGAAUUACUGGGCGUAAAGCGUGCGUAGGCGGUUCGCUGUGUCCGAUGUGAAAGCCCCGGGCUUAACCUGGGAAUGGCAUUGGAAACUGGGGGGCUUGAGUGCGGCAGAGGGGGGUGGAAUUCCGCGUGUAGCAGUGAAAUGCGUAGAGAUGCGGAGGAACACCGAUGGCGAAGGCAGCCCCCUGGGUCGACACUGACGCUCAGGAGCGAAAGCGUGGGUAGCAAACAGG